GCCCGCUUGACGGAACAGGUAGACGUAGCGGACUUAAAAUCCGCGGCCGAUAGGCGUGCCGGUUCGAGUCCGGCAGCGGGCACCA
rnacentral:tRNA from 1 species